rnacentral:rRNA from 1 species
CCUACGGGAGGCAGCAGUAGGGAAUAUUGCUCAAUGGGGGAAACCCUGAAGCAGCAACGCCGCGUGGAGGAUGAAGGUUCUCGGAUUGUAAACUCCUUUUGUUAGAGAAGAUAAUGACGGUAUCUAACGAAUAAGCACCGGCUAACGCCGUGCCAGCAGCCGCGGUAAUACGGAGGGUGCAAGCGUUACUCGGAAUCACUGGGCGUAAGGAGCGAGUAGGCGGGAUAGCAAGUCAGAUGUGAAAUCCUAUGGCUUAACCAUAGAACUGCAUUUGAAACUGUUAUUCUAGAGUAUGGGAGAGGUAGGUGGAAUUCUUGGUGUAGGGGUAAAAUCCGUAGAGAUCAAGAGGAAUACUCAUUGCGAAGGCGACCUGCUAGAACAUAACUGACGCUGAUGCGCGAAAGCGUGGGGAGCAAACGGGAUUAGAUACCCCAGUAGUC